rnacentral:rRNA from 1 species
AUUGAACGCUGGCGGCAGGCCUAACACAUGCAAGUCGAACGAGUGGCGGACGGGUGAGUAAUGUCUGGGAAACUGCCCCAUGGCUGGGGAUCACUACUGGAAACGGUCGCUAAUACCGCAUACCAUCGGAUGUGCCCAGAUGGGAUUAGCUAGUAGGUGGGGUAACGGCUCACCUAGGCGACGCUCCCUAGCUGGUCUGAGAGGAUGACCAGCAACACUGGAACUGAGACACGCGCCAGACUCCUAAGGGAGGCAGCAGUGGGGAAUAUUGCACAAGGGGCGCAAGCCUGAUGCAGCCAUGCCGCGUGUAUGAAGAAGGCCUUCGGGUUGUAAAGUACGUUCAGCGAGGAGGCGUUACUCGCAGAAGAAGCACCGGCUAACUCCGUGCCAGCAGCCGCGGUAAUUC